rnacentral:rRNA from 1 species
AACUAACGCUGGCGGCGUGCCUAACACAUGCAAGUCGAACGAGAAAGUUGGCUUCGGCCGAUGAGUAAAGUGGCGCACGGGUGAGUAACGCGUGGAUAAUCUGCCCUUUAGUUUGGAAUAACGUACCGAAAGGUGCGCUAAUACCGGAUAAUACUGAAUGACUACUGUCGUUUAGUCAAAGAAGGCUUCUGUUUACAUGCUUUUGCUGAAGGAUGAGUCCGCGUACCAUUAGCUAGUUGGUAGGGUAAUGGCCUACCAAGGCGACGAUGGUUAGCUGGUCUGAGAGGAUGAUCAGCCACACUGGAACUGAGACACGGUCCAGACUCCUACGGGAGGCAGCAGUGAGGAAUAUUGCGCAAUGGGGGAAACCCUGACGCAGCAACGCCGCGUGAGUGAGGAAGGUUUUCGGACCGUAAAGCUCUGUCGAGCGGGAAGAAAUGCAUGGUGGCUAAUAUCCAUCAUGCUUGACGGUACCGCUAGAGGAAGCACCGG